rnacentral:rRNA from 1 species
AUUGAACGCUGGCGGCAUGCCUUACACAUGCAAGUCGAACGGCAGCGCGGGAGCAAUCCUGGCGGCGAGUGGCGAACGGGUGAGUAAUACAUCGGAACGUGCCCAAUCGUGGGGGAUAACGCAGCGAAAGCUGUGCUAAUACCGCAUACGAUCUACGGAUGAAAGCAGGGGAUCGCAAGACCUUGCGCGAAUGGAGCGGCCGAUGGCAGAUUAGGUAGUUGGUGAGGUAAAGGCUCACCAAGCCUUCGAUCUGUAGCUGGUCUGAGAGGACGACCAGCCACACUGGGACUGAGACACGGCCCAGACUCCUACGGGAGGCAGCAGUGGGGAAUUUUGGACAAUGGGCGAAAG